UGGUGGAGUGAUUUGUCUGGUUAAUUCCGUUAACGAACGAGACCUCGACCUACUAAAUAGUGUGGUGAAUUCUUCGGGAUUCAUUCAUCGCUUCUUAGAGGGACUAUCGGUGUGUAGCCGAUGGAAGUUCGAGGCAAUAACA
rnacentral:rRNA from 1 species